ACGAACGCUGGCGGCGUGCCUAAUACAUGCAAGUCGAACGGUCUUUCUAUGGAAGCUUGCUUCCACUGAGAAGAUAGUGGCGAACGGGUGAGUAACACGUGGGUAACCUGCCCAUAAGAGGGGGGAUAACAUCCGGAAACGGGUGCUAAUACCGCAUAGUUUUCUUGAUCGCAUGAUUGAGAAAGGAAAGACGGCCUUUGUGCUGUCGCUUAUGGAUGGACCCGCGGCGUAUUAGUUAGUUGGUGAGGUAAUGGCUCACCAAGACGAUGAUACGUAGCCGACCUGAGAGGGUGAUCGGCCACAUUGGGACUGAGACACGGCCCAAACUCCUACGGGAGGCAGCAGUAGGGAAUCUUCCGCAAUGGACGAAAGUCUGACGGAGCAACGCCGCGUGAGUGAAGAAGGUUUUUUCGGAUCGUAAAACUCUGUUGUCAGAGAAGAACAAGUUGGAGAGUAACUGCUCCAGCCUUGACGGUAUCUGACCAGAAAGCCACGGCUAACUACGUGCCAGCCGCAGC
rnacentral:rRNA from 1 species